GGGAAACCGAGCGCACUCUUCCCCUAAUCAGCAGAGGAAACCAAAACACCGAGCAGUAAACACAUCAGCGCCCUCUACAGGCUGGUUACUCUAAUGACUAUCAUCGUUCCAACUUCAGUAAAAGUGGUCUGUCCGUCUCUCUCCUGGACUAACUGGCAAAGUCGCUCUUUAAUCAGCUCCACGGACCAAAUCGAGCAGCCUCGGAUCUCAACCUCUCUCCGGUCUCCUGAACACAGCAGCUCGCCUGAAAGAUGACAUUCAGUGAUUUCCCUGUUGCUUUGUGCAGAAUGUCAAUAAUGUCUUCAUUAUCCUGUCUCACCGUUCUUCAGCGUUUGCAUCAGUGAGUCGGAGUACCGCAGAACUCCUAGGUAAACAAGAGCCUGAGGGACUCUGUAGUCAGCAAACAUGGACGGGAUCUUCUCCACAAUCAGCUCCACCAUCUUCUGUGCAUCAUUUCCAGCUUGGCUUAUGAAACUCUGGAAACUUCCACCAUGUUCCAACAGCACACGACCACCUUCAGUCAGCGCCUUUGAAGAAAGACAAGUGACAAAAUCCAUGGAUCAGACUGAGCAACUUGCGGACUGACAAACUCCCCUGGUCAGAUGUAGAUGUUGGUGCCAACGGAUUUGCCUUCUUCCAGCCACUGGCAGAGAGAUCAUCGCUGUUUCUGAGACUGUAGAGCAUCUCUGCCACCUUCUGCACUCCUGAUCCUUCCACAAACACAUCUCGGCUGCAGCCUGCAACAAACUGUCCGGACUCUCUGGGAAGCAAAGGAUUUUCCAUGAUGGCUGCUAAAGUGGAAAUGGAAAACAAUGUCUGAAAACUGGAUAUACACAAAUGUCAACGUAUUCAUAUUCCUGUUGGGUAAACAGACCGACACCACUACCAGACAAACAUUUACGCACAUCAGAAACAGUUCUUCUGAUCAUGCAGGAGUCGGUGGUGAGAUCAUCUUUAUGCACUUUUUACAGCACCAGAAAUAUUAGUUCAAAUUAAAGAAGAAAAACAUGUCUUUGCAGAAACCAGAAAACACGACGGUGACAGUUUGGCAAAAAAAAAAAAAAAAAAAUCUUGCAGUUGAAAACUGAAGGGAGGAGCACUACUAAGAUCUGAAGACACCUUGAAAAAGGUGCCAAAAUAUUUAAAUUGCAGCACUUAAAAGUUGCAUGUAUAUUUUAUUUAAAUUUAAUACACGACAGCUAAUGUCUUCACUAACAUGACUACCUUGCAGGAUCAAUGUAUCAUUUAUUGAAUGCAACUGUAAAAAAGUGUAAAAACAUUUGAUCAAAGCAGUGUAUGGUUACUUUUAUUGUUCACUUCUGUAGCUUCUCCAGCUUAACAAUGUCUCCCAUUGGGGGACUAAUAUAAAAUAUUUUCCAAUAGCAAAUACAUUUUUAAUACACUUGCAGCCGGAUUUUAAAUGAGCAUCUUUUAAAUAAUAAUUUUAUAUUUACAUUCUUACAUUUCUAUUAAAAAUAUGAAAAAUA